ensembl:lncRNA
CAGGACACACACAGUCUGUUCUCAGGAAGAUCAGGAGUCAAAAAAAAAGAACACUUCAGAACACUAUUGAGAGACCUGAGCCAUUGUGCAGGCCCAAGACGGGGCAAAGAGGACUCAUUGAGACAAGGUGCACCUGCUAAAACUGGCACUAAAACCAGGCAGCUACUGCAAACCAGCAGUGCCCAGCACCAACAGAAAGCAAGUCUUUGUUCUUCUGGCACAAGAGGACUCCUUUACUUGCUCAGUGAAAAACUCACACAUAAGAAGGAAAAGCUACACAACUGCCAAGAACUGCAGAAGUACAACUGGAAAAAAUACUGUCUUUGGCCUUGUAGCUUGUAUCAAUUAUUGCUUUUAACAAAAGAUACCAGCAAUGCCUUUCAGCAUAUUCAGCAGCAAAACAAUCUUCACUUGCCAAUACUGCUGGGCUACAGCAAAUCCAGGACACCGCAGCAGCCAAGUGCUCCUCAUGUGGCUGUUGUCAGAAAAGUCCUCGCUCUCCCCAGCCCAAUCCAAAGUAAGGUACUGACCCAAAAUGCUGAGAUGGUGAGAGACACCAUAAACCCGAACUCACCAAGAGCUGGAGCUGAGCCCAGAGAGGUGCAGAGUGACCCUCUGCAUCCUCAUCCCCCUAGCAUCUCCCUCAGCAGCCAGAACAUCCCAGCACCUCCCUCCCACCUGCUCUGAGCGCUCCCCCUCACCCAGUCCAGCCUGUAAAAUACACAAACUGCCACAGUUCUACUCCUUCUAAAUUGAUACUUUGACACAUUGGCUACUUCUAGGAGUAUGUACCUCACCCCAGCCCAGGACAGAGCUCCAUGUUUUAACAGACACUUCACCAAGCAUGCUCACGGUGCCUUUUUACACACUCAGAAGAUUGUUAACCAGCUAGAGCCUUUCCCACUCCCCUUUUCCAGCCAUGCUCUUCAAAGAGCUCUAUUUACAUGCCAAGCUACAAAGCAACGUGGAAAAACUGAAGCUUUUAUGAUUCUACAGUGAGGUUUUUCACAACAUGAAGCAGCUUCUUAGACUAUUUUUUUUUUCAUUUUUUUAUUUCCAAACAAGAUUUCACAGUUAAAAAAAAAAAAAAUCUCAGUCCACCCACAGGCUUUUGAGGAACAUUAACAGAGGGUCUUCAAAAGAAGAGAGCUCUGCAACCUUAAGCAUUGCAUUCUGAAUGAACAUCCAUGGAAAAACUGCGUACAAGUCAGAAACAAGAGUCACCAAAACCCACAUAUGCACCAGAGUUGAAACUAUUUCUCCCAUGUUUAGGUCUGGCAUGGCUUGCCUUAUGCCAUCUUCUGUUGUACCUUUCCAAUUGCUUACUGUCUUCUCAUUUACUUCUGAGCCUUUGGUUUGAAAUCAGCUGUGUCUGAAAUCCCUUCUAGGACAAGCCACCAAGCCAGUGUUGGUCAUUUCCUCAGCAGCAUUGAUACCAGUUUGCCCUGGGGCUCCCCCAGCCCCCAACACACAAGAAUUUCUAUGUGGAACCUUUCUCCAGUUCCCCGAGAAAUCAAGUCCUAGAUUUCCACCUCAUAUUCUGUCAACCACACAGAGCAAGAACUGACACUUCAUCAGCAUCUUCUUUGUGCAGAGAUGAAAAAUACUGCCAAGAGUUCAGCAGAAACGAGUCUGGAUGAACAGCCUGUGCAAAUAAAGCCCUUUAUAAAACCA